CGGAUUCAGGUUGGCAUGGGAACUGCACAGAAUGUUAAGCAACAAACAGAAAAAAACCAAAGCAUGUGUCAAAUGAACCUAAGAAAUAGAUGGCUCAGGAGAUGGUGUUAGCAUUGGAAAGAACAAAACAUGAAUCUGAAGCCUUCUACCACACAGCCCUCUCAAGAUAACUGGCCAUGACUGUGUCUGAUAGCCAAACUACAGAUCAAGAAUCUUUUCAUACUGCUAUGCCCAGAAGUGAAUGUGGACUAAGGUACAGGGCCGAAAAUAAAAGCCUGUGUGGAGAAGCACAGAGAGAUUCUUCAUAAAGCAUGUGUGAGUUACUGGAGGAAUCAUCACUACAGAAGAUAGCUUACAGAAAGAUACCUUGCAGAGGGAAAUCAAGUUCUUGAAGACUCAGGAAGUUGGUAGAAAGACAGUCGUUUUUCUGUCUAUUACAUGCCGUA
rnacentral:lncRNA from 1 species